GCUAACUGGCUAACAGCUAUUGCCCUUGAAUACGCCCUGUAAAGCCCAGCGUGAAGAUACAGUUACUUGUUGAAUACUCACCUGUUUGUACGAGCUAAAAGCUAUUGUCCUUGAAUACGCUCUGUAAGCCCAGCGUGAAGAUACAGUUACUUGUUGAAUACUCACCUGUUUGUACGAGCUAAAAGCUAUUGUCCUUGAAUACGCUCUGUAAGCCCAGCGUGAAGAUACAGUUACUUGUUGAAUACUUACCUGUCUGUACGAGCUAAAAGCUAUUGUCCUUGAAUACGCUCUGUAAGCCCAGCGUGAAGAUACAGUUACUUGUUGAAUACUUACCUGUCUGUACGAGCUAAAAGCUAUUGUCCUUGAAUACGCUCUGUAAGCCCAGCGUGAAGAUACAGUUACUUGUUGAAUACUUACCUCUCUGUACGAGCUAAAAGCUAUUGCCCUUGAAUACGCCCUGUAAAGCCCAGCGUGAAGAUACAGUUACUUGUUGAAUACUUACCUGUCUGUACGAGCUAAAAGCUAUUGCCCUUGAAUACGCUCUGUAAGCCCAGCGUGAAGAUACAGUCACUUGUUGAAUACUCACCUGUUUGUACGAGCUAAAAGCUACUGACCUUGAAUACGCCCUGUAAAGCCCAGUGUGAAGAUACAGCUACUUGUUGAAUACUUACCCGCCUGCACGAGUUAAAAGCCAUUGCUCUGGAACCCGCUCAGUAAGCCUAGUGUGAAGAGUCAGUCACCUUGCUCAAUAUCUAUCUGUGAUACGAGUAAAAAGUUACUCGCUUCUGAUAUACCGGUGGACAUCCAGGGGCAUGGCCUAGUUACCUUGCUACAUCCUUACCGUUGUUCCUUACCUGUGCCCUCAGGGAUUUGGGUGUUACCUUAUAUCUACCUAGGAGGUCUAUGGGAGUGGAGGAGCUGUCCAGACGCUGGAGAAGAGAAGGGCGCCACGGGAAAUCAAGCAGUUAAGGAAGGACUUAGGAUUAGUCAGGAGACUGGUGGAAGUUCUGGGAAAGGACGGAAGAGCCCUUGCCCCCCCCCUCCCCUUGUGAUUACUUACCAAAGACCUCCAGAGUUCUCAGGCCCAGUCCCCUCCUGUCAAGAGACGAAAAUCAAAGUUUUAGAUUCCCCUUUUCUCCUUUCCUAGAUUACCUUUUUAAAUAAUUUAAAUAAAGUUGUUUUAAAUUACCCUUAACUUAUCUUG
ensembl:lncRNA